rnacentral:rRNA from 1 species
GACGAACGCUGGCGGCGUGCUUAACACAUGCAAGUCGAACGGCAAGGCCCUGCUUUUGUGGGGUGCUCGAGUGGCGAACGGGUGAGUAACACGUGAGUAACCUGCCCUUGACUUUGGGAUAACUUCAGGAAACUGGGGCUAAUAUCGUAUAGCAGCCCCUGUUGCAUGGUGGGGGUUGGAACGUUUCGGCGGUAGGGGAUGGACUCGCGGCUUAUCAGCUUGUUGGUGGGGUAGUGGCUUACCAAGGCUUUGAAGGGUAGCCGGCCUGGGAGGGUGGCCGGCGACCAUGGGACUGCGAUACGGACCAGACUCCUACGGGGGGCAGCAGUGGGGAGUAUUGCACAGUGGGCGGAAGCGUGUGGCAGCGACGCCGCGUGCGUGAUGACGGCCUGCGGGUUGAGAACCGCUUUCGCCUGAGACGAAGCGUGAGUGACGGUAAUGAGUGAAGAAGCACCGGCUAACUACGUG